rnacentral:rRNA from 1 species
AAGCGGUGGAGCAUGUGGUUAAUUCGAAGCAACGCGAAGAACCUUACCAGGGCUUGACAUCCCCUGACCGCGUAUGAAAGUACGUUUUCACCCUCGGGUGACAGGGAGACAGGUGGUGCAUGGUUGUCGUCAGCUCGUGUCGUGAGAUGUUGGGUUAAGUCCCGCAACGAGCGCAACCCCUACGUUUAGUUGCUAACAGGUGAAGCUGAGCACUCUAGACGAACUGCCGUUGACAAAACGGAGGAAGGUGGGGAUGACGUCAAAUCAUCAUGCCCCUUAUGUUCUGGGCUACACACGUGCUACAAUGGCCGGUACAGACGGAGGCGAAGCCGCGAGGCGGAGCAAAUCCGAAAAAAGCCGGUCUCAGUUCGGAUUGCAGGCUGCAAUUCGCCUGCAUGAAGUCGGAAUCGCUAGUAAUCGCAGGUCAGCAUACUGCGGUGAAUACGUUCCCGGGCCUU